rnacentral:rRNA from 1 species
GUCAAAUCAUCAUGCCCCUUAUGCCCUGGGCUACACACGUGCUACAAUGGCCGGAACAGCGGGAGGCGAAAGGGCGACCUGGAGCGAAUCCCUGUAAAUCCGGUCCCAGUUCGGAUCGCAGGCUGCAACUCGCCUGCGUGAAGGCGGAAUCGCUAGUAAUCGCGGGUCAGCAUACCGCGGUGAAUACGUUCCCGGGCCUU